GAUGAACGCUGGCGGCGUGCCUAAUACAUGCAAGUCGAGCGAACAGACGAGGAGCUUGCUCCUCUGACGUUAGCGGCGGACGGGUGAGUAACACGUGGAUAACCUACCUAUAAUACUGGGAUAACUUCGGGAAACCGGAGCUAAUACCGGAUAAUAUAUUGAACCGCAUGGUUCAAUAGUGAAAGACGGUUUUGCUGUCACUUAUAGAUGGAUCCGCGCCGCAUUAGCUAGUUGGUAAGGUAACGGCUUACCAAGGCAACGAUGCGUAGCCGACCUGAGAGGGUGAUCGGCCACACUGGAACUGAGACACGGUCCAGACUCCUACGGGAGGCAGCAGUAGGGAAUCUUACGCAAUGGGCGAAAGCCUGACGGAGCAACGCCGCGUGAGUGAUGAAGGUCUUCGGAUCGGAAAACUCUGUUAUUAGGGAAGAACAAAUGUGUAAGUAACUAUGCACGUCUUGACGGUACCUAAUCAGAAAGCCACGGCUAACUACGUG
rnacentral:rRNA from 1 species